rnacentral:rRNA from 1 species
CAAUAAGCGGAGGAAAAGAAACCAACAGGGAUUGCCCCAGUAACGGCGAGUGAAGCGGCAACAGCUCAAAUUUGAAAUCUGGCCCUCGGGUCCGAGUUGUAAUUUGUAGAGGAUGCUUUUGGCGAGGUGCCUUCCGAGUUCCCUGGAACGGGACGCCAUAGAGGGUGAGAGCCCCGUCUGGUCGGACACCGAGCCUCUGUAAAGCUCCUUCGACGAGUCGAGUAGUUUGGGAAUGCUGCUCAAAAUGGGAGGUAUAUGUCUUCUAAAGCUAAAUAUUGGCCAGAGACCGAUAGCGCACAAGUAGAGUGAUCGAAAGAUGAAAAGCACUUUGAAAAGAGGGUUAAAAAGUACGUGAAAUUGUUGAAAGGGAAGCGCCUAUGACCAGACUUGAGCCCGGUGAAUCAUCCAGCGUUCUCGCUGGUGCACUUUGCCGGGUCCAGGCCAGCAUCAGUUUGGUGCGGGGGAUAAAGGUGGUGGGAAUGUGGCUCCCUCGGGAGUGUUAUAGCCCGCUACGUAAUACCCUGCGCCGGACUGAGGUACGCGCAUUGCAAGGAUGCUGGCGUAAUGGUCAUCAGCGACCCGUCUUGAAACACGGACCAAGGAGUCGUCUUCGUAUGCGAGUGUUCGGGUGUCAAACCCCUACGCGUAAUGAAAGUGAACGCAGGUGAGAGCUUCGGCGCAUCAUCGACCGAUCCUGAUGUUCUCGGAUGGAUUUGAGUAAGAGCAUACGGGGCCGGACCCGAAAGAAGGUGAACUAUGCCUGUAUAGGGUGAAGCCAGAGGAAACUCUGGUGGAGGCUCGCAGCGGUUCUGACGUGCGAAUCGAUCGUCAAAUAUGGGCAUGGGGGCGAAAGACUAAUCGAACCUUCUAGUAGCUGGUUUCCGC